rnacentral:rRNA from 1 species
AGAGUUUGAUCCUGGCUCAGGACGAACGCUGGCGGCGUGCUUAACACAUGCAAGUCGAACGAGACGAUUGAAAGCUUGCUUUUGAAAGUCGAGUGGCAAACGGGUGAGUAACGCGUAGACAACCUGCCGUAAAGAUGGGGACAACAGUCCGAAAGGACUGCUAAUACCGAAUGUUGUAAAUCUUCCACAUGGAAGACUUACUAAAGGUGGCCUCUACUUGUAAGCUAUCGCUUUACGAUGGGUCUGCGUCUGAUUAGCUGGUUGGUGGGGUAACGGCCUACCAAGGCGACGAUCAGUAGCCGGUCUGAGAGGAUGAACGGCCACAUUGGAACUGAGACACGGUCCAGACUCCUACGGGAGGCAGCAGUGGGGAAUCUUCCGCAAUGGGCGCAAGCCUGACGGAGCAACGCCGCGUGAGUGAAGAAGGGUUUCGACUCGUAAAGCUCUGUUGUCGGGGACGAACGUGGAGACGGCGAAUAGCCGUUUCCAAUGACGGUACCUGACGAGGAAGCCACGGCUAACUACGUGCCAGCAGCCGCGGUAAUACGUAGGUGGCGAGCGUUGUCCGGAAUUAUUGGGCGUAAAGGGAGCGCAGGCGGGAAGGUAAGUCUAUCUUAAAAGUGCGGGGCUCAACCCCGUGAGGGGAUGGAAACUAUCUUUCUUGAGUGCAGGAGAGGAAAGCGGAAUUCCUAGUGUAGCGGUGAAAUGCGUAGAUAUUAGGAGGAACACCAGUGGCGAAGGCGGCUUUCUGGACUGUAACUGACGCUGAGGCUCGAAAGCGUGGGGAGCGAACAGGAUUAGAUACCCUGGUAGUCCACGCCGUAAACGAUGAAUGCUAGGUGUAGGAGGUAUCGACCCCUUCUGUGCCGGAGUUAACGCAAUAAGCAUUCCGCCUGGGGAGUAGGGCCGCAAGGCUGAAACUCAAAGGAAUUGACGGGGGCCCGCACAAGCGGUGGAGUAUGUGGUUUAAUUCGACGCAACGCGAAGAACCUUACCAGGGCUUGACAUUGAGUGAAAGGACAAGGGAUUGUCCCCUCUCUUCGGAGACACGAAAACAGGCGGUGCAAGGCUGUCGUCAGCUCGUGUCGUGAGAUGUUGGGUUAAGUCCCGCAACGAGCGCAACCCCUAUCCUUUGUUGCCAGCACGCAAUGGUGGGAACUCAAAGGAGACUGCCGCGGACAACGC